AUUGAACGCUGGCGGCAGGCCUAACACAUGCAAAUCGAACGGUAACAGGAAACAGCUUGCUGUUUCGCUGACGAGUGGCGGACGGGUGAGUAAUGUCUGGGAAACUGCCUGAUGGAGGGGGAUAACUACUGGAAACGGUAGCUAAUACCGCAUAACGUCGCAAGACCAAAGAGGGGGACCUUCGGGCCUCUUGCCAUCGGAUGUGCCCAGAUGGGAUUAGCUAGUAGGUGGGGUAACGGCUCACCUAGGCGACGAUCCCUAGCUGGUCUGAGAGGAUGACCAGCCACACUGGAACUGAGACACGGUCCAGACUCCUACGGGAGGCAGCAGUGGGGAAUAUUGCACAAUGGGCGCAAGCCUGAUGCAGCCAUGCCGCGUGUAUGAAGAAGGCCUUCGGGUUGUAAAGUACUUUCAGCGGGGAGGAAGGGAGUAAAGUUAAUACCUUUGCUCAUUGACGUUACCCGCAGAAGAAGCACCGGCUAACUCCGUGCCAGCCGCCGCCGCGG
rnacentral:rRNA from 1 species